UAAUAUAAUACGUUAUAUAACUAUACACUCACUGUGAGCACACAACUUUAAACAAAUUUUUCAGAAUGCGGAAAACUAGAAAGACCUAACUUGAUUUACAAGGGUACAGGUCUAUUCGUUGACUGCAAUUAUAACGCUGGACACGUUGGUUAUCUACCUGUGUCAUGCAGGGAUAGUAAAUGGAACAUUACGGGAACCUGUCUGAAAUACGCAUACCCACUUUCGAUACAAGACAUACGACUUAUUGGUGAUGCGAACAGAACCGAAGGUAGAGUGGAAAUAAAAGUGUUCGAUACCUGGGGUACAAUAUGCGAUGACAAUGUUGGACUGGAAGAAGCCAGUGCUUUAUGUCGUAUGAUGGGAUACGGAUUUGCAACUAGAUCUAACACAGCAAGCAAUCCGGGGACAGGACCGAUCUUUGUUGAUGAUUUGGAUUGUGGUGCAAACGCAACUUCUAUCAAUGAAUGCAAAUACACGACGAAUCAAAACUGUGGUCACGCAGAAGAUGUCGCAGUAAGAUGCAUAGAAUGCCCAGCGCUGAUUAUACAAGGUGGUUCAUUGAUAUUAUCCGCAACUCGUAGUGGCAUAGCAACGUUGACUUGUCAUGUGGGAUGGUACAUGAAUGGAAGUAAUGGCGUAUUUGAGUGCAAGGAUGGAAUGUGGAGUAAUUCGAACACAACAUGC